CAGCCGCCGCGGUAAUACGAAGGGGGCUAGCGUUGCUCGGAAUCACUGGGCGUAAAGGGUGCGUAGGCGGGUCUUUAAGUCAGGGGUGAAAUCCUGGAGCUCAACUCCAGAACUGCCUUUGAUACUGAAGAUCUUGAGUAUGGGAGAGGUGAGUGGAACUGCGAGUGUAGAGGUGAAAUUCGUAGAUAUUCGCAAGAACACCAGUGGCGAAGGCGGCUCACUGGCCCAUAACUGACGCUGAGGCACGAAAGCGUGGGGAGCAAACAGGAUUAGAUACCCCCGUAGUCCCUGUCUCUUAUAU
rnacentral:rRNA from 1 species